CUUGGGCUGGUAGCGGUGGAAAGGGCCCCGAAACGCCAGGCGUCUAGGAUAACAUGGCUGCGGGCAGGGGACGCCCAAAUAGCCUUCUUUCAGGCCAAGAUCAAUGCCAGGCGCAGGAAAAAUUUCAUUCACUCGCUGCACGGACCGACUAGGGUGGCCACCUCCCACGAUGAAAAAGAGGAAAUCAUUCAUUGUCACUUCGCUAGAUCAUUAGGGACUAGACAGGACCGAGAUAGCACUAUUGACUGGAGCUACAUCGACAUGCCAAGGGUCCAAGGUGGUGGCCUAGACAAUCCAUUCACUGAGCAGGAAGUGUGGCAGGCGAUCAAGCAAUCGCCGGCAGAGAAAUCUCCUGGCCCGGAUGGCUUCUCCGGGGUUUUCUUCAGAAGCUGCUGGCCAACCAUAAAAGGGGACGUGAUGGACGUUUUUCAUCAGUUCUACCACUUAGCCAGGGAAAAUUUCCAAAUGCUCAACACAGCUGUUGUAGUUCUUCUUCCCAAGAAAGAUGGUGCUGCUACAAUCAAUGAUUACAGACCGAUUAGCCUAAUUCACUCUGUUGCAAAAUUGAUCUCCAAAGUGCUCUCGCUCCGCCUUGCAACGGUGAUUCAAAGCUUGAUUUCCCCGGCGCAUAUGGCAUUCCUCAGAACCAAAUGCAUACAUGAUAGCUACCUCUACAUGCAAAAUUGUGUGAGGUCCCUCCACGCUAAGAAGACUCCGGCCCUGCUACUCAAAUUAGAUAUCUCCAAGGCUUUUGAUAAUGUCUCGUGGGAUUAUCUGCUCGAGCUGCUCCAACAGUUGGGUUUUAGCGCGAGGUGGCGCGACUGGAUUUCCCUCCUUCUCUCCACCUCUUCAUCGGCCUUCCUACUCAAUGGCGUCGCCGGGUAG
rnacentral:rRNA from 1 species